rnacentral:rRNA from 1 species
AACUAUGGCCAUGCUACCCUGAACAUGCCCAAUCUCGUCUGAUCUCAGAAACUAAGCAGGAUCAGGCCUGGUUAGUAUUUAGAUGGGAGACCACCUAGGAAUACCAGGUGCUGUAGGUG